AUUCAGACAGGCAGAAGUGCCCUGUGCAGAGCACGAGCAAAGUGUUGGAUUUAAAUCCCUUUAGGCACGCCCUAUUAAUGCUCUUGUGUAUCACACUGUGAGCAGAUUCAUUCAUUCUCUAACAUUUGCUGAGCCCUAUCUAUGUCCUGGCCAUGGUGCUCAGCGCUGGGUACAGAAGGGGGAACAGAUGACACCCUGACUCCCGAAGCUCUGGAUUUGAUUUCGUAGCAUGAGGCAGACAAGCACAGCAACAAGAUCACAGCCAUCAACAGCUGCCUCAGAUGCCAGCUGUGCACACUGGAGACACAGAAUGAGAGAGACUCCUGGACAAACUGAGACCUGACAGGUGAACCAAGGUCCUGGUGGAGCAACUAUGUCUGAUGGAUGCAAACUUGCUACCUACAAAUCACGGAGCUAAGCAUCAACCUGAGUGGCUAAUGAUCAUCUUAAUUAACCCACAAGACUUUAUGCAUGGCUGGUAUUCAUCCAACCUUUUGAUCCUAGACAGGAAUCUAUUAAAGACCGUUGAGAGAAUGAAAAGACAAAAUCCAACUUCCAUAAGCAGAAUUGUUAAGAGGAAAGACAGAAGAAUGAUCUUUGAUCAGAGAGGCGAAUGCCAACACAGCAGCUUCUUACUCUAUUUAUUAGCUUGGGAUCUUUGCCAGAAGAUUUUUCUCUGUCAACCAUUUCCAGACUUGUAGGUUGUCAUUGCUAAGACUGGAAUGACAGGUAUGGGCCUUCAUUCAUCUCCUCCUCCUCCUCCUCCUCCUCCUCCUCCUCCUCCUCCCCCUCCUCCUCCUCCUCCUCCUCCUCUUCCUCCUCCUCCUCCUCCUCC